CCUCGAGGCGCCCCGUACGUUCAUUCACAGGAAAUUCUAGAUCCACUACGGCUACUCGCAGAAUGCCACGCCCACACAUGCCCCACCAAUCAACGGUGUCGAUGACGUACUUCCUGUUUGCAUGUGUGCUGGCAGCGUGUACAGUGGACGCACGAGAGAAGCGGCAGCUGUUCACGGCGUGCUCCGGCUGGGGGCCCAGCUGCUCCGUCUACAGCUCCAUAGGGCGCGACGUGGUGCCAGCAGUCAGCAUCAGCAGACCUUCACCCCGUCGGGAGACCCCACCGGUGCAGGAGUUUUACAGCAGAGGGCGCCUGGGCAUACCAAGCCUUGUUACAUCAGGUGGCUGGGAACCUGGGACGAUGGGGAAAAGGAUGCAGCAAGAAGACUCCGUCAUGGAUUUGUUAUGGCUGCUUCAACAGGCUAGCCGUGAUAACAAUUAAAAACACGAGACAGCAAGAUGUAAAGUACAGCCAAAACAACAGCGGAUUAGUGCUAGACUUCAGCGAGUCUCACGCCAGACAACAGGGAUCAUGGAACUCUAGCUUCAAGAAUACUUUAUUAGACAACUUGAAAAAGAACAUUGUUAUCGAAUUAUAUCUAGAACAAACUGUUAUUUUUAUUUCAACAAACAGGGAUCAUGGAACUCUAGCUUCAAGAAUACUUUAUUAGACAACUUGAAAAAGAACAUUGUUAUCGAAUUAUAUCUAGAACAAACUGUUAUUUUUAUUUCAACAAACAGGGAUCAUGGAACUCUAGCUUCAAGAAUACUUUAUUAGACAACUUGAAAAAGAACAUUGUUAUCGAAUUAUAGCUAGAACAAACUGUUAUUUUUAUUUCAACUAACAGGGAUCAUGGAACUCUAGCUUCAAGAAUACUUUAUUAGACAACUUGAAAAAGAACAUUGUUAUCGAAUUAUAGCUAGAACAGACUGUUAUUUUUAUUUCAACAUAAAAAAAAUUAUUCUCUAGCCUGGACGCCUACACGGAGCCACAAGUGACACCCAUAAACUAAAUGAUUGUGUAGGAUUUCUUGUUAAGAAUCCAUUCGUGGUUUAUAUUAAAAACGGUUGAAAUAACACUAUUAAAAUUAAGCCUCCUACACUAAGUUCAACAGGCUUUGAAUUUUUAAAAAGGUUGUUUUAGUUUCAUCCGUGUAUUACAAUAUAAUUGUAGAUAUUAUGACAAAUUGAAAAUACAAUAAAACAGAAAUAAACUAUUGUAAAA